rnacentral:ncRNA from 1 species
CUUGGCUGAUAAGCCAAUGGUGCGAAGCUACCAUCGGGGGGGAUUAUGGCUGAACGCCUCUAAGUCAGAAUGCCGCCUGGAAAGCGACGAUGCAUUCGUGCCUCGGCCUUGAGAGGCGUAGCUAGACGGCCGUGUGGCCGUGGAAAGAGCCCGAUUCCGACCCGAGAGGCCGCGGCAAGAGGCGGCCUCGAAGUCGGUGGAUCCUCCUGCUCGAAAGGCGGGGUGCUAAACCAUUCGCAGACGACCUAGUUGAAGAUCGGGGUGUCGUGAUCACUAGAGCAGUACAUCUCACUGCGAUUUGUUGAGAGUAAGCCUCAAGAUCUGUCGGUUUGU